rnacentral:lncRNA from 1 species
GCAAAAUCACGGAGAGGCAUCCCUUUUUGAAUUUCAUGUGUAUGAAAAAUGAAGCCUGUGGCAUAGUGGGGGCAGAGUGGUAAAUUAUAUGGAGAGACAGAAGACUGAGAAAGGGGAAGGUUAUUUAAGGAGAUAGGCCUACGAUGGAUUUGGAGAUCCUGACCUGCUGGAGUACAGGGCUGAAUAAGAGAAGUGGUGUGGCUUUCAGGGCACUGGAGGAUGAAAGAGAAGGACAUAACCAUUUAAACUGGGAGUUAUGCAUGGCUGCAUCAUAA